GUGCAGACGGUUAUCCCUUACUAAGCUGAUGUGCUGUGUGAGGGAGUCGGUCUGCUACAGGAACCUUCAGGUUGGGGCUUCUUGGCUCUGCUGUUUGCUGAGCUGCAGCUCACCUGAACACAG
ensembl:snoRNA